rnacentral:rRNA from 1 species
GUGAGGAAUAUUGGUCAAUGGGCGGAAGCCUGAACCAGCCAAGUCGCGUGAAGGAAGAAGGAUCUAUGGUUUGUAAACUUCUUUUGAAGGGGGAUAAAGUGCGUCACGAGUGAUGCAUUGCAGGUACCCUUGGAAUAAGCAUCGGCUAACUCCGUGCCAGCAGCCGCGGUAAUACGGAGGAUGCGAGCGUUAUCCGGAUUUAUUGGGUUUAAAGGGUGCGUAGGUGGCUUUUUAAGUCAGCGGUGAAAACUGGCGGCUCAACCGCAAGAGUGCCGUUGAAACUGGGGAGCUAGAGUAUGAACGAGGUAGGCGGAAUGUGUGGUGUAGCGGUGAAAUGCAUAGAUAUCACGCAGAACUCCGAUAGCGAAGGCAGCUUACCAGGCCAUAACAGACACUGAAGCACGAAAGCGUGGGGAUCGAACAGGAUUAGAAACCCUGGUAGUCC